UUUAUGCAUAUCUUACUGGACUGAAAUAAAUAUAGUUUAUUGUUUAACAUUAAUUUUAUGGAUCCAGAGAUGGCCGAAAGAAGAGGAAGCCAUCGCGCAUUAUACUGUAAUUUUAUAAUCUAACAACAGCCUGCUGCUACACUAUUUAUCCACGAAUUAUGCCAGUAUGAGGGAUGGCAAGUAAAUUUACAGUAGAAAAUUCACCGAUAUCAGUUCAUCAUUAGCGAUCUGAACGAGGGGAACACCAGCCAGUGAAGUGAGUCAAGUGGCUUGUGUUGCUCAACGAACGCAGAAUGGCGUUGCGUGCAUCCGCUACCCUGACGCGUCCUUCCCCCUCCGAAUUAUCGUUCUCGGCUAGUCCGCCCCGUGCAGGCGUCCCCUCAGGGCGGAUCUCCCGUUUAUCGGCCUUCUCCCCAAGCUACUCCGAUCACCAGUUCCUGGGCCCGGUUGCUGCAUCCCCCAGGAACGAUCCAUCCAGCGAAAUCUCACAGCGAGCCACGCCCACGCCCACGGUCGCACGCCCCACCUUAGCCCUGACGCGAAGGCAUCCGUUUCGACAAGACACUACGGAGGAUAAUGUAGACGCGGUCAUUCGACGUUUCCUCCGUGAUGAAGCCGAGCGAAAACGACUUGAUGUUCCUUCGGAUACGGACUUCGAGGAUGAAACGACAAUAACGCUGCCCCGACGCUUGCUGAACGCCACGGAGGCGGCUCAGCUUAUAGGAAAACUUGACGAGAUAUUUGCUUUGGAUGUGACCUUUGACGAGCUGCUAGAUAUUGUAUUGGCGCUCCUGGAAAUACCUAACCCUCCCGAUAGUUCUGAAGGGCUGCAAUGUUUACUGUGGGAUUAUCUGCGUGAAGAUGGAUGUGAUCAGUCUGUGAAUGGAGUGCCCUGAUUAUACUGUAAUUUGACGGCGUGCUCGGUACCCUCACCAGCACUCUUUCGGGACGGCCCCACGCAGCGGCUCUAGAUCGGUGAAGGAGCUAACAAACUCCGCGCUUAGCGCAACAGCCUCAUGGUCUCCUGGUGUACAUAAUGCGCCAGUAUGCCGGUCAGCGUCUGGUUGUUGCAAUUAUCAUGCCGGCACACACAGCGGAAUGUUAUCCAUGGAUGACUGUGGAAAAGUCCCUUUCGGAGGGCUGCCUUAUCACAGGCAAGCAGAUCACCGGGCGUCCGAUUCUCCCAUAACAUUUGUGUAUCUCGAUCCGACCGGGCGCAAUUCCGACCCAUCAGAAAAAAAGCAGGCCUAUGUCACAUGAGUACGCACUCUACGGACGCAGAACCACUUGGUUGUACUUGUGGAGAGAGAAUAAGUAAUAAUACUAUUCCUCAACUCAAAGACUAAAGACAAGUGCUGUGAAAAACACUGGGUACAAUUGACCUUCUGAUUUUUUAUCGACUUUUGUUUCCAUUUUUUCAGUACGGUACCGUACUCAUGCCUCUAUUGCAAGUUUUGAGUCUACGUAGAUCUGUACGUUCACAAAUUAUCGCAAAUAAUAAUCGCUGCCGAAUAAGGGAAUGUUAUUAUCCUCUACAUAUACCUUCUUCUACCUUACCUUUUUCAUCGGUAAUCAGGUUAAAGUCGGGUGCGAGGAAGAUUCCCAACAGGCAGAAUCCUGUCUCAUCGGGACACUGCAGUAGUUGCGUGCCGUUUCCGCGUCCCGGCAAUUUGCAGGUGUUUUGGGGGUCGCUAAAGAAACUGCACUGUUGACAGACGAGGCUUACGAUGAGUACAUUGGGUACCCAUUAUAAUCCGCAUUUUACCAGCUGACUCCACUUCUAUUAAGAAUGCACCAUCUUACCGUUCGUACGCCGGAUCAUGGCGCAGGUGGCGAUUAAUAUGGCGGAAGGGAAUCUCUUCGCAGGCUAUAGAUCCCCGGGGGGCCGAUUCGCCCAUAAAGCCUCGUUUUUCAUUUUUGAUCCCGUAUCCGUCCAGGCGCACCUGCGACCCAUCACGUGAUCUGUACGUAACGUGCCAACAGUUAAUUAAAGCGCCAUGUUACAAAUCCAGCAAAAAAACCCAAUUCUGUCCGCGCACGCGAAGCUCUUUCCUAAAUUAACUAAUAUUUCUGUACACUUCGUUUUGUGAGGUACCGUACGGUUAACAAUCCGGGACCAGUCUAUGUAUUUAAAAAGACAAGUUAAACGAUAUUCUGAGGAGUUUUAUGUCUUUUAUUUAAUUAUCCUUUUUGUGUUAUCUUAUAAUUUAUUUUAAAGGAUAUCUAAAGUGCCGAAAAUGUGUUUGCAAUUAAAAUAUAAGGUACCCAUUUAGCCGGAAAACUGGUCAGGCUCGGGUAUGAGGCCCAUCGCCACUUGGCAGAACUCCGUUUCACCGGAACACCCCCCAAACUUCGACAAGUAUGUAAAUGUUUUUCGGCAAGAAUUGCUGAAAUCUUUGGUAUAACUGCACUGGUGACAUUCUAGACCUGCGAUCGGUAAAUGCAUUAGCAAAUGUCAUCCCCAUUUUAGCAAUAGAUUCCCGCGUGCUAUGAAACAUUCUAAUCUCAUCGUUUGUACUCCUGAUCACGGCGCCGGUGGCGAAUAGUAUGACGAUAGGGCUACUCAACAUGGCGUGGGUGUAGAGUCUACGUAUACGGGAUUUCAGAACCACUCGUGGAAUACGAUUAUAAUUAUAUACUUGCUCGAAAUAUUUGAAAUAAAUUAUGCCGGUUGCUUUUUCCUUUGCUGAAAAAAAUUUAUUAGAAGCGCUUUAACCUUUCAAGGUUGCUCUUAAUCUUACGUGUCAUGGCAGCUGAAAUCUAUAUACGAGCAUGGUGCUCUUGUGGCAAAAUUUGACC